rnacentral:rRNA from 1 species
AUACAAUGAUUCCCCUAGUACGGCGAGUGAAGAGGGAAAAGCUCAAGUUUGGAAGCUUCGUGGCAUAGCUACGACGCGUUGUAAACUGAAGUUUUUUGGGUGAUUGGGCGACCGGAUAAAUAAGUCCUUUGGAAAGGGGCAACAUAGAGGGUGACAUUCCCGUCUUUGGUCCGAGUCAGUGCAGUCGCUGCCCAGGAAACGACGAGUCAGGUUGUUUGGGAAUGCAGCCUAAAAUGGGAGGUAAAUCUCUCCUAAAGCUAAAUACUGGCGUAAGACCGAUAGCGAACAAGUACCGUGAGGGAAAGAUGAAAAGGACUUUGAAAAGAGGGUCAAAUAGUACGUGAAAUUGUUGAAAGGGAACCGUAUGAAAGUAGACUGGCUUGGUGAUGAUCAAUGUGUGUUUCGGCACGCAUGCACUCAUUGCCUUUGCCAGCCAGCGGCAGUUUUUGCUAAAGGAAGAAAAUCAGGGGAAUGUAGCUUCGAUUUCGGUUGAAGUGUUAUAGCUCCUGGUAAAAUACUUUGGCAGAGACUGAGGCUAGCAGCGGAUCUUUGGGAACUUUGCGCGCUUGUCGUCCAAUGGUUAAGUUUUCUUCGGAUGCUUGGUCAUUGGGUGGCAACUCGUGUGAUGCUUCACCCUUCCCUUAGGUCGCUGGCGUAAUGCUUUUAUAUGACCCCUCUUGNAACAGGGACCAA